rnacentral:rRNA from 1 species
AUUUUAGUUUGCUUGCAAACUAAAGAUGGCGACCGGCGCACGGGUGAGUAACACGUAUCCAACCUGCCGAUAACUCGGGGAUAGCCUUUCGAAAGAAAGAUUAAUAUCCGAUAGUAUAUUAAAACCGCAUGGUUUUACUAUUAAAGAAUUUCGGUUAUCGAUGGGGAUGCGUUCCAUUAGUUUGUUGGCGGGGUAACGGCCCACCAAGACUACGAUGGAUAGGGGUUCUGAGAGGAAGGUCCCCCACAUUGGAACUGAGACACGGUCCAAACUCCUACGGGAGGCAGCAGUGAGGAAUAUUGGUCAAUGGACGAGAGUCUGAACCAGCCAAGUAGCGUGAAGGAUGACUGCCCUAUGGGUUGUAAACUUCUUUUAUAUGGGAAUAAAGUAUUCCACGUGUGGGAUUUUGUAUGUACCAUAUGAAUAAGGAUCGGCUAACUCCGUGCCAGCAGCCGCGGUAAUACGGAGGAUCCGAGCGUUAUCCGGAUUUAUUGGGUUUAAAGGGAGCGUAGGUGGAUUGUUAAGUCAGUUGUGAAAGUUUGCGGCUCAACCGUAAAAUUGCAGUUGAAACUGGCAGUCUUGAGUACAGUAGAGGUGGGCGGAAUUCGUGGUGUAGCGGUGAAAUGCUUAGAUAUCACGAAGAACUCCGAUUGCGAAGGCAGCUCACUAGACUGCAACUGACACUGAUGCUCGAAAGUGUGGGUAUCAAACAGGAUUAGAUACCCUGGUAGUCCACACAGUAAACGAUGAAUACUCGCUGUU